AAUAGCCUAACGGCUGAACCAGCAACUGGAGGAAUGUAUAGUAGUAGCUAGUUGCAAUAACAAAUAGUUGAUGCAAUAUCGACUCGGUCGAAUAAAAUUCUAGGUAGAAUUAUGAUAAUGACAUUGUCUGCCUAUGUGUCUUGACCAAAUUACGUGCCAGCAGUCGCGGUAAUACGUAGAAGACUAGUGUUAUUCAUCCUUAAUAGGUUUAAAGGGUACCUAGACGGUUAAUCAAGCCUUUAAGGGGACUAAUUAACUAGAGUUACUUGUGAGGGGGUAUUAAAGUACUGCAGGUGUAGAGAUGAAAUUCGGUCAUACCUCUUUUCGUAAGAAAAAUAACGGCACAGGUAUAGGCGAAAGCAUCCCCUUAUGUGAUAACUGACGUUGAAGGACGAAGGCUUUGUGUAGCGAACAGGAUUAGAUACCCCAGUAGUCAAAGCAGAAAAUGAUGAAUGUCAUAGACUAGACAUAUAAUAGUUUUUUCUAUAAAUGAAAGUGUAAGCAUUCCACCUCAAGAGUAAUUUGGCAACAUUGGAACUGAAAUCAUUAGACCGUUUCUGAAACCAGUAGUGAAGUAUGUUGUUUAAUUUGAUAAUCCGCAAAAAACCUUACCACAAUUUGAAUAUUUAUAUUAUACUCUUUUUUUUAAUUGAAAAGGAAGGAGAUAUAUUUACAAGCGUUGCACGGCUGUCUUCAGUUAAUGUCGUGAGAUUCUGGUUAGUUCCAUUAAUUAACGUAAACCCUUACUUUAUUUUUAUAUAAAGUUGUUCCCCACUAGAUUGGAUAAGAUAACAGGGGCUAAGACAAGUCAUCAUGGCCUGAAUAUUGUGGGCUAUAGACGUGCCACAUGAACCUUACAAAAGGAUGUGAAAAUUGUGAAAUUGAGCUAAUCCCCAAAAUGAGAUACAUUACA
rnacentral:rRNA from 1 species